AAAAAAAAAAAAAGACACAGAAAAAGCACGCCUAGAUUUGGAAGAUAUGAAAAUAAGGAAGGAGUUGCACCUAAAAAGGCAUGCCGAUGGGUCUUUUGAAAAGCCCCCAGCAUUGUACACUUUGUCCUUAGAUGAAAGGCAUGGUUUCUGUGAGUUUUUGAAGUCUAUUAAGUAUCCUGAUGGUUAUGCCGCAAGCAUCUCAAGGUGUGUGAGCACAAAAGGUGAUAAGUUAACAAGAGUAAAAUGUCAUGAUUGUCAUGUCCUUCUACAGCGACUUCUUUCCAUUAGAAUGCAUGGAUAUCUUCAUAAUGAUAUUUGUGUCGCAUUAUUUGAGUUUGGAAAUUUCUUCCAAGAGCUUUGCUCGAAGACAUUGAAGGUAAAGGAUUUGGAAAAAAUAGAAGAUCGCAUAGUACUCAUACUAUGCAAGCUGGAGAAAAUUUUUCCACCAGCAUUUUUUGAUGUGAUGGUCCAUUUGGCCAUUCAUUUGCCGCGCGAAGCCAUUCUUGGUGGGCCUGGGCAAUAUCAGUGGAUGUACCCCAUUGAAAGGUACUUACUAAUUUCUUAAUUUACUAGAAUACUUAAAUUUUAGCAAAACAUGUAUAUAUUUAUAAAAAUGUGAGUGUGCGUGUAAUAAGAUUAUUCUAUUGCUUGUUUCAUAGGCUACUUGGAACUUUAAAAGGAUAUGUCACAAAUUGAGCUCGUCCAGAAGGUUCGAUCAUAGAAGCUUAUGUUGUCAAGGAGUGUCUCACAUUUUGCUCAAUGUAUCUGGGUGGCAUUGAAAUUGUUAAUCAAGAUGAAUGAAAUGUCGAUGUUGGUGUGCAUGAGUUGGGGUUAGAGGUCUUCACACAAAAUGUUUGUCCUCUUGGGCUAAUUACAAGGGCUUCUGACGUGUCUUAGAAAGAAUGUGAAAUGGCUCAUUGGUUCAUCUUGAAUAAUAGCCUCAAGUUGGACCAUUAUCUAGAGUACAUUCUUAUUAUUGGUUUGUGGUAGAAUUAUGUUUUCAAUAUAAUAUGUUACUUAUCAAUCAUAUAUUUGUAAGUAGGCAACACAAAAAUCUUUUAGAAAAUCAAGGUACACGUGACAUCACAAAGAGACAGAAAAAAGAAUUCCCCAAGUCGUUCAAAGAACAUGUAAGAUAUAAUCCUAGACUUUAUUCAGCUAUACUUAUAUGAAGACUAACAUAAUGAUUGAAAUUAAUGUCAUUAUGUAGAUGAACCAAUUACGAGCUCAAGGAUUACCAGAAGCAACUGAUGAUUUAUGGUCAUUAGCAAAUGGUCCUAAUGUGAAUGUUAAUUUGUAUUAAGCUUGCAUUUCGAAUGGUGUUCGAUUUCAUAGUAAGGAUCAUGAUAGUAGUCAUAAAUGCCAAAACAUUGGGUUAGUUGUGGAAGGGAAGCAUGAGGGACAAACAAUUGAAUUUUAUGGGUACUUGAAUAGAGUGUGGGAAAUGCAUUACAUACUUGGAUAUCGAGUUGUUGUAUUCCAAUGCGAAUGGUUCAACGCUGGUAGCAAUAGAACAUUACAUAUCGAUACACAUUGCACAAGUAUUGAUGUUAGAAGUCGAUGGUAUAAAGUUGAUCCAUUUGUCUUACCAAGUCAUGUGAAACAAGUUUUUUAUGUUGAUGACAAAGUUAGGUGGACAUUGGAAAGUCGUAGAAAGACUACAACAUUGAGGAAUAUGGGAUGUACCAAAACAAGAUGGCAUUGAACCUGAUGAUGUAUUCCAACAGAAUGAAACAACUGAUGUUGUCCCAGUCAGCGUUGAAGACCCCGUCACAAUCUAACUUCAUAGGAAUGACAUUGAUCCUCAAAUUAUCCCAAUUAAGGUGGUCUUACAAUCAGUUAGUUAAGCACACAGCGAUGGUGUUGAUGAUGAAGAGGGGCACGAUAAUGAAGAUGAUUACUACAAGCAUUGACUAUCCGAGAAGAUGGUGGGUCCUGGUAAAGUUCGAAGUGCGGCAUCAUCCAAAGUUCUUCUACCUACCCAGCAAGCUGCAGCUAGAGUUGCUGUCCCUACUCAACAUGCACCAGCUAAUUUAACCCCAUCUCCUCAGAGUGUACCAUCUACAAAUGCUCUAAGUAUCCAGCUUGCACCAUCUACAAAUGCAACUACUACCCAGGCUGCACCAUCUACAAAUGCAACUACUACCUAGGAUGCACCAUUUAAAACUAGUUUGCAUACUCGUCCUAGACAAGUAAGGGUUCAGACUCGAGGGAAGAGCAUAGCAUGUUUCAUAGUUAAUAAUGGUGGUGAAAAACUUCAUGUUUGGAUCCUUGCAGAUGCAAAGGUGCUAGUAGGGUCUUAUGCCACUCCAUUUGCAAAUGAACUUGACUUACAGAUAAGGAUGGCUGCACCAAUCAUUGGUAUAAAAAAGUGGGAUAAGAUUGAUAAGGUUCAUAAAGCCCCAAUCAUUCGAGCAGUUUGGGUACAUGUAUUUGCUAUUUUUAAAAUAAUUAGAUUCUCACAAUUACUUGCAUUUUGAUAUUAAUAAAAGUAUUCAUUAUAUUUGCAAGAUAAA